GCGGACGGGUGAGUAAUGCCUAGGAAUCUGCCUGGUAGUGGGGGAUAACGUUCGGAAACGGACGCUAAUACCGCAUACGUCCUACGGGAGAAAGCAGGGGACCUUCGGGCCUUGCGCUAUCAGAUGAGCCUAGGUCGGAUUAGCUAGUUGGUGAGGUAAUGGCUCACCAAGGCGACGAUCCGUAACUGGUCUGAGAGGAUGAUCAGUCACACUGGAACUGAGACACGGUCCAGACUCCUACGGGAGGCAGCAGUGGGGAAUAUUGGACAAUGGGCGAAAGCCUGAUCCAGCCAUGCCGCGUGUGUGAAGAAGGUCUUCGGAUUGUAAAGCACUUUAAGUUGGGAGGAAGGGCAGUUGCCUAAUACGUAACUGUUUUGACGUUACCGACAGAAUAAGCACCGGCUAACUCUGUGCCAGCAGCCGCGGUAAUACAGAGGGUGCAAGCGUUAAUCGGAAUUACUGGGCGUAAAGCGCGCGUAGGUGGUUUGUUAAGUUGGAUGUGAAAUCCCCGGGCUCAACCUGGGAACUGCAUUCAAAACUGACUGACUAGAGUAUGGUAGAGGGUGGUGGAAUUUCCUGUGUAGCGGUGAAAUGCGUAGAUAUAGGAAG
rnacentral:rRNA from 1 species